GAACUGGUUCACAGUGGGAAAUGGAGCAUUUAGAAAUGGAGAGGACAAUGGCCUGCAGCCCCCAGCAUGUGACUUCAAUCAAACUUGUAGGAGUAACAGCUGUUACAAGGUGAUGGCAGAGACCUAGCUGCACGUUUCUCCCUUCUGAACACCUCUGAGCUAUAUUUUGGUGACUGACAGCAUGAGGAAGGCAGAAGAGAGCGGACGGGGGAGUCAGAGGGGCAGAUCAGCUUUGCACUUAGAUGAUUUUAGACUGAUGUCUAUAUUUCUCUUAUCAUGGACUUCAGUCGAGCCAGUCAAGAUACAAAAAUAUGCUAUCGUGGUAGGAGGAUGGCCUAAGAAACUGAGGAAACAACA